UACAGAGGGUGCAAGCGUUAAUCGGAAUUACUGGGCGUAAAGCGUGCGUAGACGGUUACAUAAGUCGGGUGUGAAAGCCCCGGGCUCAACCUGGGAAUUGCAUUCGAGACUGCGUAGCUAGGGUGCGGAAGAGGGAAGCGGAAUUUCCGGUGUAGCGGUGAAAUGCGUAGAUAUCGGAAGGAACACCAGUGGCGAAAGCGGCUUCCUGGUCCAGCAUCGACGUUCAGGCACGAAAGCGUGGGGAGCAAACAGG
rnacentral:rRNA from 1 species